rnacentral:rRNA from 1 species
UACGGAGGAUCCGAGCGUUAUCCGGAUUUAUUGGGUUUAAAGGGUGCACAGGCGGGGGAUUAAGUCGGCGGUGAAAUUUUGCAGCUCAACUGUAAAAGUGCCUUCGAAACUGGUUUCCUUGAGUGUAGAUGAAGUAGGCGGAAUUUGUGGUGUAGCGGUGAAAUGCAUAGAUAUGACGCAGAACUCCGAUUGCGAAGGCAGCUUACUGGGAUGCAACUGACGCUGAGGCACGAAAGCGUGGGUAUCAAACAGGAUUAGAUA